GGCAUGUCUGUUUGAGUGCCGCAUACUCUAUGCAGCAAUGCGAUUUGAUCCAUGUCGACACUAGACUGGGUCUAAAUGUAGCCAGAUAAUGGUCUGUGAGACUAGCCCGAGUGCUAAGCAUUCUUGGUCCUAGGCUCCACUUGCCACAAUCUAUCUAUCUAUUUGGCCUCAAAUCAGGCAAGACUACCCGCUGAACUUAA
rnacentral:misc_RNA from 1 species